ACUGCAGACUAGGUUUUCGUCCACGUUCAGCGCGCAAAUCUUCGGCAUCAGGUCCCAUCGCGAGCCUCCUUCUGAUUUCCUCGCGAUCAUUUCGUCGCUGUAACCGCAAAAGAAAAAUAAUUUCAGCGCGCGCGCACGACUUCCGUGACCCACUUUCACGCCUGCGUCGAUCCGGAACCAUACCGAAUCGCACGGUUCGUCGACCUUCCUGUUAGAAUGACAACACAAACACGAAUCUGGAAUUAUUAAGUCUGGCAUCAUCCGACGAGCCUGACAUCCAAACCUAAUAAUGCGGCAGUUUCCUGCACGUGCAUUCGUCACUACGACUACACACGAUCGAGACACACGCGUGAGAUUGAGAAAAGUGCUGUGACUCAUCCUUGUGCAUUUUUAUUAUCUACUUCUUUAUUCGACAAAAUACAAAUUAUUUGUUCCUUGA